UGGGGAAUCUUCCGCAAUGGGGCGCAAGCCUGACGGAGCAACGCCGCGUGAGUGAAGAAGGGUUUCGACUCGUAAAGCUCUGUUGUCGGGGACGAACGUGGAGACUAUGAAUAAUGGUUUUCAAUGACGGUACCUGACGAGGAAGCCACGGCUAACUACGUGCCAGCAGCCGCGGUAAUACGUAGGUGGCGAGCGUUGUCCGGAUUUAUUGGGUUUAAAGGGUGCGCAGGCGGCGCGAAAAGUCAGCGGUCAAAGUUCCGGGCUCAACCCGGUGACGCCGUUGAAACUUUCGUGCUGGAGUUCGUGCGAGGGAGGCGGAAUGCGUUGUGUAGCGGUGAAAUGCAUAGAUAUGACGCAGAACCCCGAUUGCGAAGGCAGCUUUCCAGCACGCGACUGACGCUGAGGCACGAAAGCGUGGGGAGCG
rnacentral:rRNA from 1 species